rnacentral:rRNA from 1 species
CUGACGGAGCACGCCGCGUGAGUGAUGAAGGUUUUCGGAUCGUAAAGCUCUGUUGUUAGGGAAGAACAAGUGCGAGAGUAACUGCUCGCACCUUGACGGUACCUAACCAGAAAGCCACGGCUAACUACGUGCCAGCAGCCGCGGUAAUACGUAGGUGGCAAGCGUUGUCCGGAAUUAUUGGGCGUAAAGGGCUCGCAGGCGGUUUCUUAAGUCUGAUGUGAAAGCCCCCGGCUCAACCGGGGAGGGUCAUUGGAAACUGGGAAACUUGAGUGCAGAAGAGGAGAGUGGAAUUCCACGUGUAGCGGUGAAAUGCGUAGAGAUGUGGAGGAACACCAGUGGCGAAGGCGACUCUCUGGUCUGUAACUGACGCUGAGGAGCGAAAGCGUGGGGAGCGAACAGGAUUAGAUACCCUGGUAGUCCACGCCGUAAACGAUGAGUGCUAAGUGUUAGGGGGUUUCCGCCCCUUAGUGCUGCAGCUAACGCAUUAAGCACUCCGCCUGGGGAGUACGGUCGCAAGACUGAAACUCAAAGGAAUUGACGGGGGCCCGCACAAGCGGUGGAGCAUGUGGUUUAAUUCGAAGCAACGCGAAGAACCUUACCAGGUCUUGACAUCCUCUGACAACCCUAGAGAU